rnacentral:rRNA from 1 species
AUUGAACGCUGGCGGCAGGCCUAACACAUGCAAGUCGAGCGGAUGAAGGGAGCUUGCUCCUGGAUUCAGCGGCGGACGGGUGAGUAAUGCCUAGGAAUCUGCCUGGUAGUGGUUGAUAACGUCCGGAAACGGGCGCUAAUACCGCAUACUUCCUGAGGGAGAAAGUGGGGGAUCUUCGGACCUCACGCUAUCAGAUGAGCCUAGGUCGGAUUAGCUAGUUGGUGGGGUAAAGGCCUACCAAGGCGACGAUCCGUAACUGGUCUGAGAGGAUGAUCAGUCACACUGGAACUGAGACACGGUCCAGACUCCUACGGGAGGCAGCAGUGGGGAAUAUUGGACAAUGGGCGAAAGCCUGAUCCAGCCAUGCCGCGUGUGUGAAGAAGGUCUUCGGAUUGUAAAGCACUUUAAGUUGGGAGGAAGGGCAGUAAGUUAAUACCUUGCUGUUUUGACGUUACCAACAGAAUAAGCACCGGCUAACUUCGUG